rnacentral:rRNA from 1 species
UACGUAGGGUGCAAGCGUUAAUCGGAAUUACUGGGCGUAAAGCGUGCGCAGGCGGCUAUGCAAGACAGAUGUGAAAUCCCCGGGCUCAACCUGGGAACUGCAUUUGUGACUGCAUAGCUAGAGUACGGUAGAGGGGAUGGAAUUCCGCGUGUAGCAGUGAAAUGCGUAGAUAUGCGGAGGAACACCGAUGGCGAAGGCAAUCCCCUGGACCUGUACUGACGCUCAUGCACGAAAGCGUGGGGAGCAAACAGG